CUACGUGCCAGCAGCCGCGGUAAUACGGAGGGUGCGAGCGUUAAUCGGAAUAACUGGGCGUAAAGGGCACGCAGGCGGUGACUUAAGUGAGGUGUGAAAGCCCCGGGCUUAACCUGGGAAUUGCAUUUCAUACUGGGUCGCUAGAGUACUUUAGGGAGGGGUAGAAUUCCACGUGUAGCGGUGAAAUGCGUAGAGAUGUGGAGGAAUACCGAAGGCGAAGGCAGCCCCUUGGGAAUGUACUGACGCUCAUGUGCGAAAGCGUGGGGAGCAAACAGGAUUAGAUACCCUGGUAGUCCACGCUGUAAACGAUGUCGAUUUGGGGGUUGAACUUUAAGUUUGGCGCCCGUAGCUAACGUGAUAAAUCGACCGCCUGGGGAGUACGGCCGCAAGGUUAAAACUCAAAUGAAUUGACGGGGGCCCGCACAAGCGGUGGAGCAUGUGGUUUAAUUCGAUGCGACGCGAAGAACCUUACCUACUCUUGACAUCCAUGGAAUUCUGUAGAGAUACGGGAGUGCUUCGGGA
rnacentral:rRNA from 1 species